CGAAAGCCUGACAGAGCAAUACCGCGUGAGGGAUGAAGACUUACUGAGUUGUAAACCUCGGUGCCUUAAGGAAGAAGAUCUGACGGUACUUAAGGUGGAAAGCAUCGGCUAACUCCGUGCCAGCAGCCGCGGUAAGACGGGGGAUGCAAGUGUUAUCCGGAAUCACUGGGCGUAAAGCGUCUGCAGGUGGUUUCCUAAGUCCACUGUUAAACCUUGAGGCUCAACCUCAAAUCUGCAUUGGAAACUAGGAGACUUGAGUAUAGUAGGGGUAGAGGGAAUUUCCAGUGGAGCGGUGAAAUGCGUAGAUAUUGGAAAGAACACCGAUGGCGAAGGCACUCUACUGGGCUAUUACUGACACUCAGAGACGAAAGCUAGGGGAGCAAAUGGGAUUAGAUACCCCAGUAGUCCUAGCCGUAAACGAUGGAUACUCGAUGUUGGACGUAUCGACCCGUUCAGUAUCUUAGCUAACGCGUUAAGUAUCCCGCCUGGGAAGUACGCUCGCAAGAGUG
rnacentral:rRNA from 1 species